GAAAAAAACAAGAACAAACAAAACAUGCAAUUCCCAAGGUUAUCAAGAUACUAGGUACAAGCAGAACUCUAAGUCUAAGCUUCAAGAAUAUGGUGUUAGUGAACAAGUUCUUGUGGCAUUCAAAGAAGAUAGGAAAACAGAUUACCAAAUAGUAUAUCCAAAAGCAGUAAGAUCCUCAUAGGAUAAAAUUCACUCAACUCUCAAGUGUUUAGGUUAAUUAUUUACACUUAAAGCAC
rnacentral:lncRNA from 1 species